AGAAACUGUCAUCGUGUCCAGUGUAGAAGACAUCCUGUGGGACUGACGCUUAUUCUGAAUGGCAAACCUCAGUUCCUCUUUCACCAGUGGGGUUAAAUUUGUGAAAUCAUCGAACCCCAGUGACCCUGCAGGGGACAAAGUGGGAACAAUUGCGGAGGCGCUGACUUCUAAUGCAGAUACCUGGCCUGAGUGUUGGACCAUCAUUUUGCUGAAAGACCAUGCACAUGGACCUGGGCUCCAGGCUGCUUUGAGUACUUCUGGAGUUAGUGACAUUGAAGGUGCUGAACAUUUCACAGACCUGCACCGUAAAGGCCCAGCUUAUUCCCAGUGUGUGCUUGCCUUUACGGUGGUGGUGGUCUGACAUUAACUUCCACGCUCCCAAAUCCCUUGGCAGCCAUGGAGGUUGCUUGUGGUCUCCUGCCUGUCCUGCGGUGGGAUACGGCAGCAGCCCCUGCUGCUCCAUCCAGACCGACGGAAGACAACGUCAUUUUGGCCUCAUCCAGGGUUCAAAAUAUUUGCGAGAUGACCUCAUAUUUUUUUUGUUGUUGUUUCAUUUUGAUCUUGUGUUCCUGGCUGAGAGGAUGUGUGUCACUUGCAUUUUGAAAUGAACUCUGGUAAAUACAGCCGCUUCUUGAAAAGAUCACUGCUCUCAUUUGAGCACAACUUUGCCAUAAAUAUGCAAGUGGGAAGAAAACUAUGAAGACUUCUUGUGCGAACUACCCACGGGCUCAGUCUUCUCCCCGUUACAGCACAGUGCUGCUUCUGGAUCCUUCCUCGCAGAGCACACGACCUACCUCACAGCCAUACAUGACACCGAGUGCCAAAGAAGGAUAAUUGUAUUAUAAGACUUUUUUAAUUCCCCAACUUACUUCAGCUGUUAUCAGCAGCUGGUUACUUCAGCUAGCUGAUAUGCCUCGGUGUCUUGUAAACAUUUGCUCUAGUAUUGUGCAUUACUCAUAGUUGGAAAAUCACUUUGACUCCUGUAACAUAAUUAUGUUAAUGUCAAAUGAGUCACAGGGAAACAGAAAACUUGUAUCAGAGCUGCACCUUA